AGCCAUAUAAGUGUCUGACCUCUAUAGGUAACUACUUAGGAUCAACCUAGAACAGUCCUCUAUGAUGUUGAUCUUUCUUCUCCAAGAACGAUCACCCUGCAAAUCUGAUCAAAGCUUGGAUCGCGAUCAACUCUUUGAUCCUUUUCUUGAUCUUUUUCUUCUCUUCUUUUUUUAUUUUCUUUUUUUGAUUAUGAAGCAACCAAGAUCUGAAAAUUGGCUACCAAGUAGGAUGCCCA
rnacentral:lncRNA from 1 species